GUUUGAUUAUGGCUCAGGACGAACGCUGGCGGCAUGCCUAACACAUGCAAGUCGAACGGGGGUAGCAAUACCCUAGUGGCGAACGGGUGAGUAACACAUAAGCAAUCUGCCCUUCACAGGGGGAUAACAGCGGGAAACUGCUGCUAAUACCGCAUAAGACCACGGUACCGCAUGGUACAGGGGUAAAAACGAAUCAGUGGUGAAGGAUGAGCUUAUGUCCCAUUAGCUAGUUGGUGAGAUAACAGCCCACCAAGGCGACGAUGGGUAGCCGACCUGAGAGGGUGGUCGGCCACACUGGAACUGAGACACGGUCCAGACUCCUACGGGAGGCAGCAGUGGGGAAUAUUGGGCAAUGGAGGAAACUCUUACCCAGCAAUGCCGCGUGAGUGAAGAAGGUCUUCGGAUCGUAAAGCUCUGUCUUCAGGGACGAUAAUGACGGUACCUGAGGAGGAAGCCACGGCUAACUACGUGCCAGCAGCAGC
rnacentral:rRNA from 1 species